GGAGGCAGCAGUGAGGAAUAUUGGUCAAUGGACGCAAGUCUGAACCAGCCAUGUCGCGUGCAGGAUGACUGCCCUAUGGGCUGUAAACUGCUUUUAUAUUGGAAGAAUUGCGCUUACGAGUUAAGCGUUUGACGGUACAUUGUGAAUAAGGAUCGGCUAACUCCGUGCCAGCAGCCGCGGUAAUACGGAGGAUCCGAGCGUUAUCCGGAUUUAUUGGGUUUAAAGGGUGCGUAGGCGGAAAUGUAAGUCAGUGGUGAAAUCCUGCAGCUUAACUGUAGAAUAGCCGUUGAAACUGUGUUUCUUGAGUACAUUUGAGGUAGGCGGAAUGUGGUGUGUAGCGGUGAAAUGCAUAGAUAUACCACAGAACACCGAUUGCGAAGGCGGCUUACUAAACUGUCACUGACGCUGAUGCACGAAAGCGUGGGUAUCAAACAGGAUUAGAUACCCUGGUAGUCCACGCUGUAAACGAUGAUUACUGGUUGUUUGCGAUACACUGCAAGUGACUGAGCGAAAGCAUUAAGUAAUCCACCUGGGGAGUACGUCGGCAACGAUGAAACUCAAAGGAAUUGACGG
rnacentral:rRNA from 1 species